rnacentral:tRNA from 1 species
GCCGACGUAGCUCAGCAGGUAGAGCAGCUCACUCGUAAUGAGCAGGUCAGCGGUUCGAGUCCGCUCGUCGGCUCCA